GACGAACGCUGGCGGCGUGCUUAACACAUGCAAGUCGAACGACGAGCGACGGAAGCUUGCUUCUAUCAAUCUUAGUGGCGAACGGGUGAGUAACGCGUACUCAACCUGCCCUUCAGAGGGGGACAACAGUUGGAAACGACUGCUAAUACCGCAUACGACCUAACCUCGGCAUCGAGGAUAGAUGAAAGGUGGCCCCUCCAUGUAAGCUAUCACUGAAGGAGGGGACUGCGUCUGAUUAGCUAGUUGGAGGGGUAACGGCCAACCAAGGCGAUGAUCAGUAGCCGGACUGAUAGGAUGAACGGCCACAUUGGGACUGAGACACGGCCCAGACUCCUACGGGAGGCGGCAGUGGGGAAGCUGCGCAAUGGACGAAAGGCGGACGGAGCAACGCCGCGUGAGGGAUGACGGACGUCGGGUUGUAAAGCUCUGUUAAUCGGGAGGAAAGGCCUUCUAGCGAAGAGGGGGAAGGAUUGACGGUGCCGGAGUAGAAAGCCACGGCUAACUACGUG
rnacentral:rRNA from 1 species